rnacentral:rRNA from 1 species
UGGGGAAUCUUGCGCAAUGGGCGAAAGCCUGACGCAGCAACGCCGCGUGCGGGAUGAAGGCCUUCGGGUUGUAAACCGCUUUCAGCAGGAACGAAUCUGACGGUACCUGCAGAAGAAGCCCCGGCCAACUACGUGCCAGCAGCCGCGGUAAUACGUAGGGGGCGAGCGUUGUCCGGAUUUAUUGGGCGUAAAGAGCUCGUAGGCGGUUGGACAAGUCGGGUGUGAAAACUCUGGGCUCAACCCGGAGACGCCACUCGAUACUGUCCUGACUAGAGUCCGGUAGGGGAGUGUGGAAUUCCCGGUGUAGCGGUGAAAUGCGCAGAUAUCAGGAAGAACACCGAUAGCGAAGGCAGCUUACUAGACUGUAACUGACGCUGAGGCACGAAAGUGUGGGAGUCAAACAGGAUUAGAUACCCUAGUAGUCCCUGAGCGGGCUGGCAAGGCGCAU